GUUGCUACUAAAUGUUCAAUCAAGUCUAAGAUAUAAAAGUAUUAAGUUUAUAUAUAUAAUAUUUUUCCUUUUAGGACAAUUACAUUAGUACAUAAGCCAAGUACAAAAAAAAACACCCAAAUGUAUGAUAAAGUAUCUUAAAACCUUAUAUAUCCUUAUGAAAAAUGUUUUUCAAACUUCAACAGUUCAUAUCUCACAAUCGGACCA
rnacentral:lncRNA from 1 species